UUCAGUAAAUAUAUAGCUUUCAGCAGCAUAAAGAGUACUUUCUCUGUACAGGAUUGGGACUUGCUUCUCAGUAAACAUGUAUUGCACUACAACAGAAGAUCACAGAAGGAUCUUGGUAGGCAUAAAAGUAUACAUGAUGGCUUCUGUCUUUUGUCUUUUCCCAAGCUUUUUGAGAAGAAUGGAAGAGCAGCCCAAUCUCUCCAGGAUUGUGCAGAUCCCACUGGGCCACUGCCACCAAAGUCUGCCCUGGUGAACUCACACUGGUAUGACUAGAACAUAGCAGGAUGAACAUGCAGGAAAGAUGCAAUAUCAUUGAUUGAUAAUGUGGAAAGUCGAUUGCAAUUCUCCUUGUAGCUUCCAACAGAAGAGCAGUGAUUUAUUACUGUGGGGAGCCACCUGCCUGGAGGCACCUUGGGACUGCUGCCCAUCAGAGUGGAGAGUACUGAGCCACAUGGCCAAAUAUUACGACUCUCUAUAAGGCAAGUUCUUAUGAUUCAUAGUUCCUACCAAGAAACUGAUUCUGUAAAGGAUGUCUUUGGAGCUUCUUAUCAAUUGCUAAAAUGGAGUAUAUGAAACAAUAGGCAUUGGCUUGGGCAUUUUGAUUGUUGCUAAGCUUGAUUGUCCUUAAUUACAUAUGUAUGUUGCCUAGAGACAUUUUGUAUUAAGUGACAAAUAAAUCAAAUUAAUGCCAAUUUCUAAAACUGCUCCCUGGAUUAUGACAAUUAGAAUUUUAGAAGUUUCCGACUGCCCCAAUUCAGCAAAGGGAGAUUUUGUGCCUUGGUGUUAGUUGAGGCUGAUAAAUGCUUAUACGUAUAGGGCUGUAUUCAACUUUUACUCAGAGUAGAUGCAUUCAAAUGAAUGAACCUGAGUUAGUAAUGGCCAUAAAUUUCAGUGGGUGUACUGUGAGUAAACGUUAGUUGAAUACAACUCGUCUUUUAUAUUUAAAUAUAUACUUUAUGUCAAUUUAUUUUAAGGUGGUUUACACAUAAAAUGCAAUAAAUUCUCCUAAAACUAGAAUAAAACAGCAAAAUACAGAGGUCAGUUAAUAUCAAGUUGUAUAUCUAAAACACUUGGGUAAAUGAAAAAGUUUUAUCCUGGCACGUAAUAGUAAGGAAAAAGAUGCCUGUUGUCAAGAGGCUGUGAAUUGGGGUACCACAGCCAGAAAAAUCCCCCUCUCUGGUCACUGUCCGCCUCAUUAAUGAUGUCAUCAUUUGAAGAAGAGCUUUAGCAGAUGAACUGAAUACCUGGGCAGGUUGAUAAAAGGGGCAGGCAUCCCUUUGAGCACUUGUGCCCCCAAGCGCUUAGUGCUUUAUAGGUAAGCAGUCUCCCUCUGCCCACGAGACAUUAUAGAUGUCACAUUACCCUAAGCUGUUUAAAGGCACACUGAGCCACUUGGCCCUCUAGUGGCAAAGCUGAAUCUAGCAGCAUCCAUCACCUUGGAACUAGGGGAACAUCAUCACUUGGAACUAGAGGAUCGUUCUUCUUCAUCU